rnacentral:rRNA from 1 species
AUGCUCCCCCAUGCGCACCUCCACGAGUCUUGCCCCACUCCGCGGCCAUGGCAAUGGCCAGCGCGGGGCUCGCGUGAGACUACAGCGGCGAGCACGAGGCCUUGGAGGGGAUCGAGCAGUGUGUCAUGGCGGUGCAGGUGGCUCACAGGUCGACCGUGGGCAGUGAGUGUCGCAAAGCUGGUUGCGGCAGUGCGCCGCCAGGCGGAGCUCGCGCCGCGACGGCGGCUCGUGUGGGUGCAUAGUAGCUGUGAGCGGAGACCUGCGGUGUGGCUGCCGCAUGCCAGAGUGGGGCGCAGUGCAGGGACACACACCAGCAAUCCUCCACGACGUGCCGAGCUGCGAUUUCCCCUCCUGCCACCUGUGUAG